rnacentral:lncRNA from 1 species
AUAUGUAUAUGAGAGCGUUCUUUUGACGAGCAGAAAAGUUCUGUUUGUUGUAGCUCUUCGCGACUGCAAUAAUGUAGUUUAUGCCAAGACCCGCGGUCGAAAAAUGGUCAGUAACUGGGUGAAGUCCGUACAUAUAAGAAUUUAAAAUCCAGUUGUAAGCUAUGUCGCGCUUCUUAAUACCAGUUGAGAAUUUUUGUUCAAUUUCUUUAAGAAAGAGGGCCAAGGACUAACCUAGUGAAGUUAGCCAUGGAAUUCCAUAUCGGGCAAUGUAGUAAUACUCUUUCAAAACUAGUCAUAGCAAAAAUCUGAGUUGUGGUGCAGAAAAAAAUUAACAGCGUUCAAGAAAAUAAAUCGUAUUCCAUAUGACAUGCACGUAUCACUGUAUAACACCGCACGUUCGGUCGAAUUGUUAUCCUAGUGUAGCAGGUAACGGCUAGUGAAAGUGUAGUUUAUUCUAAAGCUAACCAAAGUGCGAAUCACGUGACAUAUGUUGGGAGUGAACUCGUGUUCAUUCAGUAGGCAGUAAAGCACGAGGAAGGACGCAAAGCGAAGCAGCGAGGGACACAAGGCGGGAAAGAAAGCUAACCAAUGCUAAUCGUGUGACGAUUGUUGAGAGUGCAUGUUCAUUCAGCAGACAGUUUGUAAAGGACAAUAAAACGAACACACAGCAAGGAAGGAAGGCUUGAGAGCAGAGACAUUCAUUAUUUCCAUGCAUGGAAACUGAAAUGAAGACGGUCCUUGUGUAGAGAUCCAGACACUUUGUUCCCAAGGUGAUGUGAAAUGGUGCAAAGUGUUGUGUAUGUCUUCUGCCUUCACUCUACUACACCACUACUGCCUGGAUCUUCAGUAUCUUCAGUUAGUACAGGAACUGUGAUGACACUGAGGAAAUAUUCUACAGUCUUCAACAUGGUUACAGUUGAAUUGUGAUUUCCACAUAGCAAUUGCUGUACAGUGUAAUGCCAGCAUGUAUGUUUUUCUAAGCAAGCGACAAGGUGUGUCAAUGCGGAAGCUGUGCAUCUGGACAGGAUGAGAGUGGUUGUAUUCCAGUGGCUGUAAGCAUGAAAUCACCUGGCCUUGUUUGGAAGACAUCUAUGAAUCAACCAACCAGAUGUAUACCUCUAAUUUAAACUCCUGAAAAUCCCCAUGGUUGCGGGUGGUGCAGACAGAAUGUGAGCCAGGAAGUACCUCUGUAAAAACCCGGACAUUCCAUAUUUGCAUCUUAGCAAAGAAGUUAACUUGGAUCUGCUUCACAGAGUCAUUGAUGUUCAACUAAGUAGUAGGAUACAGUUUUCUGAUCAAAUGAAAUCGCUUUAUCUUAUAUGGCUGGAAUUGAAAGAGCUGAGGCUACCAUCAGGAAAAUCUACCAUGUAAUAACACUAACCCAGAACACUGCUGCCGAGUCUACCACACAGUAAAGCCGACUAGGAAAUAGCAAUUUAGUCGACCACACAGUGACAGGAACCCGGAGCAUUGCUACUAUGUCUCCUAUACAGUAAUUCUGAUUCAGAACAUUGCUACUGAGUCUACCACACAGUAAUGUGGACUAGAACAUUGCUAUCAAGAUUUUCCAUGCAGUUACACUGACCAGAGUAGUCCAAACAGGAAAAACACUUAGGAUAACUUAGGAUGUGUGGUCUUCCACACUGUAAUACUGACCCCAAAGUGUAGCUUUUCUAUGGAAAAUGCGGACAGAUAACUGAAGUUACCUGUCAGUAGGGGCAAUAAACUUUAUUAUCUGUUUAUGUUAACACUCCUGAUACUGAAGGCUGGACUCUGCUGAACACUGGAAAAAAAGCAGAGAGAAACAUGCAACUCACUGUGUGACAUUAGUGCAAAAUAUUUUCAAAUGUGACCAUGAGAUAGACAUUAAAAUUAUUUUAAGUAAUAUUUAAGUAAUGUUCAAAGGUGGUAGUGAAAACUCACUGAAUGUGACAUCAAAGUUCAGAUGAGUGGGAAAGAAAGACAGUUGUAGUUACUAGUAAAAAUCUUCUGAUUAGAUAUUAAAAUAAUGUUUAAAAGUGACAGUAGGUACAGUAAAAUGUGGAUAAUAUGCGUUUUGAUUGAUAAUGUCAAAUAAUAAAGUGUAACUGAUUG